rnacentral:snoRNA from 7 species
UAGAGGAUGAGGAAGAAAAUCAGGCUGUUGUCCCGCUGCUCCUCUGAAUAUGUGAAUAUUCCAUUCUCCUUUGGACACUA